rnacentral:rRNA from 1 species
AACGAACGCUGGCGGCGCGUCUUAAGCAUGCAAGUCGAACGGCAAGAAAGAAGCUUGCUUCUUUCCUAGAGUGGCGGACUGGUGAGUAACGCGUGGGUAAUCUGCCUUUAAGAUGGGGAUAGCCGCUAGACAAUAGCGGAUAAUACCGAAUACACUUCAAGCUUCAAAAGGAGCAUGAAGGAAAGGAAGCUAAGGCUUCGCUUAAAGAUGAGCCUGCGUCCCAUUAGCUAGUUGGUAAGGUAACGGCCUACCAAGGCGACGAUGGGUAUCCGGCCUGAGAGGGUGAUCGGACACAUUGGGACUGAGAUACGGCCCAAACUCCUACGGGAGGCAGCAGCUAAGAAUAUUCCGCAAUGGACGGAAGUCUGACGGAGCGACGACGCGUGGAUAAAGAAGGCUGAAAAGUUGUAAAAUCCUUUUGUUGAUGAAGAAUAAGGGGAAGAGGGAAUGCUUCUCUGAUGACGGUAAUCGGCGAAUAAGCCCCGGCUAAUUACGUGCCAGCAGCCGCGGUAACACGUAAGGGGCGAGCGUUGUUCGGAAUUAUUGGGCGUAAAGGGCAUGUAGGCGGUUGUAUAAGCCUGAUGUGAAAUCCUGAGGCUUAACCUCAGAAUAGCAUUGGGUACUGUAUAGCUUGAAUUACGGAAGGGAAACUGGAAUUCCAAGUGUAGGGGUGGAAUCUGUAGAUAUUUGGAAGAACACCGGUGGCGAAGGCGGGUUUCUGGCCGAUAAUUGACGCUGAGAUGCGAAAGUGUGGGGAUCGAACAGGAUUAGAUACCCUGGUAGUCCACACCGUAAACGAUGUACACUAGGUGUUGGGGUACGAACCUCAGUGCCGAAGCAAACGUGAUAAGUGUACCGCCUGGGGAGUAUGCCCGCAAGGGUGAAACUCAAACGAAUUGACGGGGGCCCGCACAAGCGGUGGAGCAUGUGGUUUAAUUCGGAUGGUACGCGAGGACCAUACCUGGGUUUGACAUCUAGUGGAAUACCGUAGAGAUAGGUAGCGUGCCAUACGUCGCUAGACAGGUGCUGCAUGGCUGUCGUCAGCUGUGCCGAGAGGUGUUUGGGUUAUGUUCCGCACCG